rnacentral:rRNA from 1 species
UGCUUGGACCACAUAUGGUUGAGGGUCACU